rnacentral:rRNA from 1 species
ACGAACGCUGGCGGCGUGCCUAAUACAUGCAAGUUGAGCGCUGAAGGUUGGUACUUGUACCACCUGGAUGAGCAGCGAACGGGUGAGUAACGCGUGGGGAAUCUGCCUUUGAGCGGGGGACAACAUUUGGAAACGAAUGCUAAUACCGCAUAAAAACUUUAAACACAAGUUUUAAGUUUGAAAGAUGCAAUUGCAUCACUCAAAGAUGAUCCCGCGUUGUAUUAGCUAGUUGGUGAGGUAAAGGCUCACCAAGGCGAUGAUACAUAGCCGACCUGAGAGGGUGAUCGGCCACAUUGGGACUGAGACACGGCCCAAACUCCUACGGGAGGCAGCAGUAGGGAAUCUUCGGCAAUAGACGAAAGUCUGACCGAGCAACGCCGCGUGAGUGAAGAAGGUUUUCGGAUCGUAAAACUCUGUUGGUAGAGAAGAACGUUGGUGAGAGUGGAAAGCUCAUCAAGUGACGGUAACUACCCAGAAAGGGACGGCUAACUACGUG